GACGAACGCUGGCGGCGUGCUUAACACAUGCAAGUCGAACGGAAAGGCCCCUUUGGGGGUACUCGAGUGGCGAACGGGUGAGUAACACGUGAGUAACCUGCCCUUGACUUCGGGAUAACUUCAGGAAACUGGGGCUAAUCCCGGAUAGGAAUCCUUGCUGCAUGGGGGGGGUUGGAAAGCUUCGGCGGUUUUGGAUGGGUUGGCGAGUUAUCAGCUUUUUGGUGGGGUAGUGGCUUACCAGGGCUUUGACGGGAAGCGGGCCUGAGAGAGUGACCGGCCACAUUGGGACCUAGAUGCGGCAGAGACUCCGACGGGAGGAAGAAGGGGGGAAUAUUGAACCAUGGGCGGCAGCCUGAUGCAGCAAGGCCGCGGGCGGGAUGACGGCCUUCGGAUUGUAGACAGCUUUCAGCAGGGGCGAAGCUUGUGGUGACGGUACCUGCAGAAGAAGCACCGGCUAACUACGUG
rnacentral:rRNA from 1 species